GACUGAAGCAAGGUUUGGAAAUGCUUAACAUAUUCAAAAGUUAUGAACCCAAAACAUCCUUGCUAGAUGACUUCAAUUUCUAUGAAAAUCGAGAAAAGUCUCUACAGGCCAAAAGGGGCAGCAAACCUGCGACUUUAAAGAUUGAAACUAAUGAUGAUGGAGAUAUCUCUAAGCAUAUGAAUACUGGAGGGGAAGACUUUGAAGCUAAAUCGGGUGGGAUCGGGAUGACUUCUGACCGAACAUCUCUCAUUUCACUUACAAAAAAUCUCUCCCUCAAUGCUUGACCAUGAACAGUAGUGCUGUCAGAACUACAGCCAAUUUACGAGUUAGGUCUAGAUUUUAGGUUCUCUGGUUUUGUUAUUGUUUUAUUUUCUGUUUCUUUUCUUGUUAUUUUCUCUUUUCAUUCUCUAGUUUUUCAUUAAUUUG